AAGUAAAAGUCGUAACAAGGUUUCCGUAGGUGAACCUGCGGAAGGAUCAUUAAUGUAACCGGACUGUUCGGGUGCCGUAAAACGCAUCUGUUCGGAAAGGGAGAUAUCAUACACCCUAUGUUUAUUUACUUUUGUUGCUUUGGCGGGCCGUCCUUUUAGGCAUCGGCUCUGGCUGAUCGCGCCCGCCAGAGGACCUAAACUCUUCUAUCAGUGAUGUCUGAGUACUAUAUAAUAGUUAAAACUUUCAACAACGGAUCUCUUGGUUCUGGCAUCGAUGAAGAACGCAGC
rnacentral:misc_RNA from 1 species